UAGUACGGCGAGUGAGCGGCAACAGCUCAAAUUUGAAAUCUGGCUUUCGGGCCCGAGUUGUAAUUUGUAGAGGAUGAUUUUGAUGCGGUGCCUUCCGAGUUCCCUGGAACGGGACGCCAUAGAGGGUGAGAGCCCCGUCUGGUUGGAUGCCAAAUCUCUGUAAAUCUCCUUCGACGAGUCGAGUAGUUUGGGAAUGCUGCUCUAAAUGGGAGGUAUAUGUCUUCUAAAGCUAAAUACCGGCCAGAGACCGAUAGCGCACAAGUAGAGUGAUCGAAAGAUGAAAAGCACUUUGAAAAGAGAGUUAAAAAGUACGUGAAAUUGUUGAAAGGGAAGCGUUUAUGACCAGACUUGGGCUUGGUUAAUCAUCUGGGGUUCUCUCCAGUGCACUUUUCCAGUCCAGGCCAGCAUCAGUUUUCGCCGGGGGAUAAAGGCUUCGGGAAUGUGGCUCCCCUCGGGGAGUGUUAUAGCCCGUUGUGUAAUACCCUGGUGGGGACUGAGGUUCGCGCUUCUGCAAGGAUGCUGGCGUAAUGGUCAUCAACGACCCGUCUUGAACCCACGGGACC
rnacentral:rRNA from 1 species